GCGUGAAGAUUAUUAUAAAAAUUAUAUUAAUAUAAAUAUAUAAUUAUAAUUUUACCCUUAAAUAAGCAAUUGUGAGGUUUAGGAGUAUACGUUGCUUUUGAGCUCCAGAGAUAAGUGCUUAAAAUCUAGGUCCGUGGCACCGGGAGUGCGGGGCUCGGCAAUUUUUGGCAGGGAAGUAUUUCUGCCGUACAGCAUCAUCGUCUUCAGCUAUUGCGUCGUCGAAACGCACCGUUUCUUUGUACUUCUGGACUCACUUCACCCACACUCAGAGAGAUUUGAGGCUUUGCUCAGGAUGGCGGAGAAACCCCAACCUGUUCGCGUACUGUACUGUCUAGUUUGCAGUUUACCCGCCGAGUACUGUGAAUUUGGCCCCGAUUUCGAAAAAUGCAAGCCCUGGUUGAUCCAAAACGCCCCUGACCUUUACCCCGGUCUCAUCAAAGAGACCAACGCCAAGGAAGCGGACAAGGUCGCCGAGCAGUUACAAUCCGCCGGCAUCUCAUCCAGCAGCGGUGACGGUGCUACUCCUUCAGGGGUUACUUCUGCACCUAAGGAAGAAGUAAAACGUCUUCCUGGAGGGAAGAUAAAGAAGAAAGAGAAGCAAGAAGUUGUUAUAGAAAAGGUCACACGCAACAAGCGGAAAUGUAUCACCACUGUUAAAGGACUGGACCUGUUUGGUGUUAAACUUAGUGAUGCAUCUAAAAAACUUGGGAAAAAGUUUGCUACUGGAGCCUCUGUUGUUAAGGGUCCAACUGAGAAGGAGCAGAUUGAUGUUCAAGGAGACAUAUCCUAUGACAUUGUGGACUUCAUUACAGAGACCUGGCCUGAUGUUUGAGUGCUUUACCAUGGUUGGGAUCUUUACUUGAGGGCAUAACCUUCCUGCAGUAAUCUUCUGUGAACCAGUUGCAGGAAAGCUGAUACAAGGAUUGAAAACAGUGCUCUGAUUUCCCAUGGAAAAUCAUAGAGUUUUAUUCUGAUAAAUGCAUUUUGAUAUAGUGCUUGCAUCCCAACCCUGGUCCCAGAAGCUGCAAUUUAUUUUAUUGAAGAUGGUAAGAAGGUCCCAGCUGCUUGAUUCUGAAUCAUAAGUACAACUGUUAUUGAGUGUGGCAUCUUCCUCUUAGCCUGGCACUUUCCAAACUUGAUGCUGUCUCAAGGUAA